rnacentral:lncRNA from 1 species
GGCUUUGUUUAAUAGGCCUUUUAUUAAAAAGGGCCAAAUAUAUAAAACACAUGAAAAAAAUAGAGUCCAUAUAUUUUGGUAUUAGGGUUACGUGAUACAACCUCUUUCACUUCCCCUCUCACCUCGCCGUUCUUUUUUUUUUUUUCUUUUUCUUUAACCCCAAUUUCUUCUCAUUUCCAUGGCGAUACAAGUAACGAUUCGAGAUGAAAAACAGUUGAUGAGACUCCACCAGCCAAUUCCACCUUUUGUCAUCCGUUACGCCGUUUUACGAACCCAUCUUUUAGUAGUGUCAAUUUCGUUCACCUAUAGUAUUUUUUUGAUCUAGACAGACGGAAAUUUUGAAGAAGAGCAGGAAGAACUGUAGUACUUGAUUUCGCUUAGAGAAUUAAAAAAGAUGAAAAACAAUUUUUUUUUAUCAAAAGAAGCCCGAUCCGGAUAACCGACGGAAAUCCAAAUUUUGUAACGGAUCUUCGACAACCGGAUAUCCGGA